AUUGAACGCUGGCGGCAGGCCUAACACAUGCAAGUCGAGCGGAUGAAGGGAGCUUGCUCCUGGAUUCAGCGGCGGACGGGUGAGUAAUGCCUAGGAAUCUGCCUGGUAGUGGGGGAUAACGUCCGGAAACGGGCGCUAAUACCGCAUACGUCCUGAGGGAGAAAGUGGGGGUUUUUGGGCCCCCCGCCAUCCGGUGAGCCUGGGUCGGAAUAGCUAGUUGGUGGGGUUAAGGCCUACCAAGGCGACGAUCCGUAACUGGUCUGAGAGGAUGAUCAGUCACACUGGAACUGAGACACGGUCCAGACUCCUACGGGAGGCAGCAGUGGGGAAUAUUGGACAAUGGGCGAAAGCCUGAUCCAGCCAUGCCGCGUGUGUGAAGAAGGUCUUCGGAUUGUAAAGCACUUUAAGUUGGGAGGAAGGGCAGUAAGUUAAUACCUUGCUGUUUUGACGUUACCAACAGAAUAAGCACCGGCUAACUUCGUG
rnacentral:rRNA from 1 species